GAACAUACCACUUGUUGCCUCGGCGGAUCAGCCCGCUCCCGGUAAAACGGGACGGCCCGCCAGAGGACCCCUAAAACUCUGUUUCUAUAUGUAACUUCUGAGUAAAACCAUAAAUAAAUCAAAACUUUCAACAACGGAUCUCUUGGUUCUGGCAUCGAUGAAGAACGCAGCAAAAUGCGAUAAGUAAUGUGAAUUGCAGAAUUCAGUGAAUCAUCGAAUCUUUGAACGCACAUUGCGCCCGCCAGUAUUCUGGCGGGCAUGCCUGUUCGAGCGUCAUUUCAACCCUCAAGCACAGCUUGGUGUUGGGACUCGCGUUAAUUCGCGUUCCUCAAAUUGAUUGGCGGUCACGUCGAGCUUCCAUAGCGUAGUAGUAAAACCCUCGUUACUGGUAAUCGUCGCGGCCACGCCGUUAAACCCCAACUUCUGAAUGUUGACCUCGGAUCAGGUAGGAAUACCCGCUGAACUUAAGCAUAUCAAUAAG
rnacentral:rRNA from 1 species